rnacentral:rRNA from 1 species
UCGACCUCAGAUCAGGUAGGAAUACCCGCUGAACUUAAGCAUAUCAAUAAGCGGAGGAAAAGAAACCAACAGGGAUUGCCUCAGUAGCGGCGAGUGAAGCGGCAAGAGCUCAGAUUUGAAAUCGUGUUUCGGCACGAGUUGUAGAGUGUAGGUGGGAGUCUCUGCGGAGCACAGUGUCCAAGUCCCUUGGAACAGGGCGCCUGAGAGGGUGAGAGCCCCGUGGGGUGCUGUGCGAAGCUUUGAGGCCCUGCUGACGAGUCGAGUUGUUUGGGAAUGCAGCUCUAAGCGGGUGGUAAAUUCCAUCUAAGGCUAAAUAUUGGCGAGAGACCGAUAGCGAACAAGUACUGUGAAGGAAAGAUGAAAAGCACUUUGAAAAGAGAGUGAAACAGCACGUGAAAUUGUUGAAAGGGAAGGGUAUUGGGCCCGACAUGGGGAGUGCGCACCGCUGUCUCUUGUAGGCGGCGCUCUGGGCGCUCUCUGGGCCAGCAUCGGUUCCUGCUGCGAGAGAAAGGGUUCCGGAAAGUGGCUCUUCGGAGUGUUAUAGCCGGGGCCAGAUGUCGCGUGUGGGGACCGAGGACUGCG